AGAUGAAACAUCAAAGAGAUGCUGUCUUACAUGGGGAAUAAUAAAGCUUCACAGAAGAAUGAGAUAGAAAAAUGCAUAUCUUCCUCCAGUACAUUCAUGCACAGUUCAACUACAGUUGUUAUUUGAAUGGUCAUACUGCUGCAGCAUUCCAGUCAACAGCCAUAACCCCACUGACUAAAGACUGAACAAACGGGACCUAUCUCUGCCAAGUGGCCCUGAGAGGAUGAGUUUCUCUUUAAUCAGAGUUUCUAUGGACAUGGCACAGUUCAGGGGUGGCUCGGCUGCAUGUGCUUGUGAGGAGACCUCAGGCAGAGAAGACUGAAGAAGGAG